AACGUAGGGGGCGAGCGAUAUCCGGAAUUAUUGGGCGUAAAGAGCUCGUAGGCGGUGUGUCGCGUCGGCCGUGAAAACCUGCAGCUUAACUGUGGGCUUGCGGUCGAUACGGGCAUCACUGGAGUUCGGCAGGGGAGACUGGAAUUCCUGGUGUAGCGGUGAAAUGCGCAGAUAUCAGGAGGAACACCGGUGGCGAAGGCGGGUCUCUGGGCCGAUACUGACGCUGAGGAGCGAAAGCGUGGGGAGCGAACAGG
rnacentral:rRNA from 1 species